CCUACGGGUGGCAGCAGUGAGGAAUAUUGGUCAAUGGCCGCAGGGCUGAACCAGCUAAGUCGCGUGAGGGAUGACGGUCCUAUGGAUUGUAAACCUCUUUUGUCAGGGAGCAAAGGGCGCCACGUGUGCCGUUUUGCGUGUACCUGAAGAAAAAGCAUCGGCUAACUCCGUGCCAGCAGCCGCGGUAAUACGGAGGAUGCGAGCGUUAUCCGGAUUUAUUGGGUUUAAAGGGUGCGUAGGCGGACGGUUAAGUCAGCGGUAAAAUUUCGGGGCUCAACCCCGUCGUGCCGUUGAAACUGGCGGACUUGAGUGAGCGAGAAGUAGGCGGAAUGCGGGGUGUAGCGGUGAAAUGCAUAGAUAUCACGCAGAACUCCGAUGGCGAAGGCAGCAUACCGGCGCUAGACUGACGCUCAGGCACGAAAGCGUGGGGAUCGAACAGGAUUAGAUACCCUGGUAGUC
rnacentral:rRNA from 1 species